rnacentral:rRNA from 1 species
CCUACGGGGGGCAGCAGUGAGGAAUAUUGGUCAAUGGCCGGAAGGCUGAACCAGCCAUGCCGCGUGAAGGUCAGUGCCCUAUGGGCGUUAAACUUCUUUUGUGCGGGAGCAAUAAUGGUCACGUGUGGCCAGACGAGAGUACCGUACGAAUAAGCAUCGGCUAACUCCGUGCCAGCAGCCGCGGUAAUACGGGGGAUGCAAGCGUUAUCCGGAUUUAUUGGGUUUAAAGGGUGCGUAGGCUGGGAGGUAAGUCAGCGGGGAAAUGCCCCCGGUCAACGGGCUGAAGUGCCAUUGAUACUGCCUUGCUGGAGUGCGUAUGCCGUGGGAGGAAUGUGUGGUGUAGCGGUGAAAUGCAUAGAUAUCACACAGAACACCGAUUGCGAAGGCAUCUCACGAAUCCGCGAUUGACGCUGAUGCACGAAAGCGUGGGUAUCAAACAGGAUUAGAUACCCCUGUAGUC